GUUUUAAUAGUUUAAAAAAAACAUUAGUCUUGUAAACUAAAAAUAUAGAAAUUUAUUUAAAACU
rnacentral:tRNA from 1 species